rnacentral:tRNA from 1 species
GCGCCGGUGGUGUAAGGCGAACAUCGCUGCCCGGAAAGAAGGAGAUGCGGGUUCGAGUCCCGCCCGGUGCA